GGCACGAUUCCCACUUCACAAACAACUGCAUAUGUUCCUUAGUCAUCCUCUUUCAAUGGGAGCUUCAGACACAAACGACAAAACAAACGUGCCGUUAGGCUGACCGCAAUGGAAAAUCAUGUUCCUAUAGCAAUGAGCGCUGAUGAAUUGUACACUUACAUUUUGGUCACUUAGCAGAUACUCUUACCCACAGCGAUUUACAGUCAGCGCAUGCAACCAAGCUAAGUCCCCUCCUGUUCCCUAAUUAAGAGGUUAUGACUACUCCGCUCCACUACCAUUGUCAACUUUCUCCUGAUAUGAACUGAAGCCAUGACGUGUCAUGUGCCCGCUCAACCACUGGCACAUUGAACGUUUACCUUCCAAGCACUUCAAAUCCUGUCCUGCACUGGUCAAGCUUCUGAACGCCUCAUCUUAUGCCACAUACCCUCAUUCAAUCACUGUUGUGAUCCCUUUCCAACACUGUGUAAUUAGCCCUCUUCUUCCCCUUCCCCAUAAUAUUGUACUAUACAUGUCUUUACUAAAUGCUUCAGGUUAAAACAGUUCGUCUUUGAUGAAUUUUGAAACACAGCGGCACCUGAGACAGCGUUUUCCACCACCAUCAACAAAACACCAAAUUACGGAAUUUAUUGUGGAAGAAUGGUGUCGCAUCCCUCCGAUAGAGGGAGGGUGGCCCAACACCCUAUUAAUUAAGACACUUUAUGUUGGUGUUUAUUUUAUACCUGUAUAUAUUUCCUUUCUCUAAUCACCAUGACUAUUAUUCAUUUUGUUACUGUUAUUGUUGCCACUAUCGCACUUUGAUUUAGCAACAGUAGUUUUGCCAUUCAUGCAGAGAGAGAGAGAGAGAGAGAGAGAGAGAGAGAGAGAGAGAGAGAGAGAGAGAGAGAGAGAGAGAGAGAGAGAGAGACCACUUAUUUGGAUAGUCCCAAGUAGAUGGUGUGUGAUUAACUUUCAACAACAUUUCAACUAACUAUCUACUAACCUUAACCCCUUAUCCUAACCCUAAAUGUAACUGUUACCCUAACCUCAACCCUUACCCUUAUACUAACCCUAACCUCAGCAAGCUGUUGGAUAUCAAGAGAUAGUUUGUUGAUAGUUUGCCCAUCUGUAUGGGACUAAAUAAAGUCUGACUGAAAAAGAAAGGUGAGUUUGAAUUCUUACAAUUCAUCGUUCUAGUUCAACGGGACUGUAUCCGUUCACACAUAGGCGGAAAUCCCAGGGGGGACGGGGGGGACACGACCCCCCCAUCCUGGGGAAAAUAUGAUUUGUCCCCCCCAAUAUAUCACUGUAAACAUAACUAUGUAAUUUCAAUAAUAUUAAUAAUACGCAAUGAAAGCACUUGUGCUGAUUAUAGACACUUAAUAGCGCGUUUUUAAAUUUCACAAGAUUGCGACCCCCCCGCCCUUUGCCUCACAAUGGUUUGAUCCACUGCCAGUUCUUUAGCUGGCAAGGUAAUAGAGGGCUCGUAUCUACUGUCCGAAAGGCACUCAAUGUACGUAACUGUCGUGAGGUAAUCCAGUCAAUCGCGCCUUAGCAAUGUAUAUAUUUUUUUCAUGUUGCAGGGUUCACACACUAGCUGAAUUUGCAGAGCUAGCGCGCAAACUAAAGCAAACAUUAACUAUCAAGCUAGCUAGUACCUAUUCCAUUUAUGUUGCGUCGUCAAAGAUGGAAUAUUUGCUAUCGUCAGUGUAUUCCAAGAUUAGCAUGCAGCUGUAGUGCUUCAAAGUCCCUGUGAUAAGGUUAGCGAUAAACUGAAGUCCAAACUGAACAAAACUACACUCUCUUAUACCAUUGUCUUAAAUAUAUUUAAUGGUCUCGUUGCAAAAGCUAAAUUGUCGCUAGUGAAUUUUUUUUUUUUUUCACCUUUAACCAGGUAGCAAAGAUUAUAGCAAACACCACAGAAACGGAAUUGGUGCUCGCUAGCUUUGCAAAUUCAGCUAUUGUUGGAAGCCUGCCAAUAUGAAACAAACUAUGUUAAAAUUUCAAAACGUUGCAGCAUGUGUUGUGUAAAUGUGUGUGUGCAGCUAGACCGGUCAGCCAGCCAGCCAGGUAGAAAAAUGUCAGAAAAAAGUAAAAAGACGGACAUCAGAGUAUUUUUCAGUACACCAAAACGCAAAGUAAGAACUCUAGUAGCCUAAUAUCUACCUAAGACCAGUUGAUAAAAUGUUCAUAAGAAAGAAGUGAAAUGCUAAUGGAAAUAUUUCACAAUGAUGUCAUUAGGCAGAGCAGGCAACAGAUGGCACACAGACAGCAGAGCUGGGGACAGAUAUGCAGGGACAGACUGGCAGAGACAGGGAGUCUCAGGAGACAGACUGUGAGUCAGUGAGGGUGGUGAAAGGGAAAGAGCCAAGGAGAGAGACUUGAGGACAGUGUCACAGCCACGGCAGGACCAGGUGUCACCCUUGUUGCCAGCAGCACCAGUAUAGAGGACAGUGGCACAGCAUCGUCCAGUUACCUCAGUGAUGACACAAAACCAUAUCAGCCACACCCACAAUUUAUAGAACCGCAAACUCUUGCAAACGUUUCAAGAGAGAGGAACACUGCACUGAUAAGGAACAUUGCUAUAACUAUUAUUAGUAGUAGUAUUAUAAUGAUUUAAACAAGUUGGGACAACCCUUCAGUUAACUACUGUACCUAACAAUUAUCCAGUAGUAGUGAUUAUGGUCCCUCAAUAUACAUUUAACAUAUUACAACUUAGUCUAUGUGUUACAGCACUACUUUUGGUGUCCCCCUCAGGAAUUGCUCCUGAGAAAAUUUCAUGUAAUUGUCCCCUCCAAGGUUGAUAUCAGAUUUUCGCCCCUGCGUUCACAGUGACAUAUAUCAUACAUCAACCCACCUUCUGAUUAAAAUGCUGAUUUCUAAAACAUACAGUGCAACUUGAUUGAAUCAAGGGAUACGUGCAGCAUGAGACGAUCCGUGUUUAUAUGAGGUGCAAAACAAGAGAGAAGUCACAGAGAGAACCAAGAGACGUCAAAGAAACUGCUGUCCUGGA